UUACGGCCACAUCAUGUUGAAAUACCGGUUCCCGUAAGAUUACCAUAGUUAAACAACGUCGAGCCUGGUCAGUACCUAGGUGGGUAACCCCUUUGGAAUACCAAACGCUGUAA